AUACGUAGGUGGCGAGCGUUGUCCGGAAUUACUGGGUGUAAAGGGAGCGCAGGCGGGGAAGCAAGUCAGCUGUGAAAUCUAUGGGCUUAACCCAUAACGUGCAGUUGAAACUGUUUUUCUUGAGUAGAGUAGAGGUAGGCGGAAUUCCGAGUGUAGCGGUGAAAUGCGUAGAGAUUCGGAGGAACACCAGUGGCGAAGGCGGCCUACUGGGCUCUAACUGACGCUGAGGCUCGAAAGUGUGGGGAGCAAACAGGAUUAGAUACCCUGGUAGUCCACACCGUAAACGAUGAUUGCUAGGUGUGGGGGGUCUAACCCCCUCCGUGCCGUAGCUAACGCAAUAAGCAAUCCACCUGGGGAGUACGGCCGCAAGGCUGAA
rnacentral:rRNA from 1 species